CCGACUCCUACGGGAGGCAGCAGUAGGGAAUCUUCCGCAAUGGGCGAAAGCCUGACGGAGCAACGCCGCGUGAGUGAAGAAGGAUUUCGGUUCGUAAAGCUCUGUUGUUAGGGAAGAAUGAUUGUGUAGUAACUAUACACAGUAGAGACGGUACCUAACCAGAAAGCCACGGCUAACUACGUGCCAGCAGCCGCGGUAAUACGUAGGUGGCAAGCGUUGUCCGGAAUUAUUGGGCGUAAAGCGCGCGCAGGUGGUUUAAUAAGUCUGAUGUGAAAGCCCACGGCUCAACCGUGGAGGGUCAUUGGAAACUGUUAAACUUGAGUGCAGGAGAGAAAAGUGGAAUUCCUAGUGUAGCGGUGAAAUGCGUAGAGAUUAGGAGGAACACCAGUGGCGAAGGCGGCUUUUUGGCCUGUAACUGACACUGAGGCGCGAAAGCGUGGGGAGCAAACAGGAUUAGAUACCCUGGUAGUCCACGCCGUAAACGAUGAGUGCUAAGUGUUGGUCUCAUAAGAGAUCAGUGCUGCAGCUAACGCAUUAAGCACUCCGCCUGGGGAGUACGACCGCAAGGUUGAAACUCAAAGGAAUUGACGGGGGCCCGCACAAG
rnacentral:rRNA from 1 species